CAGAGCUUAACUCUGGAACUGCCAUCAAAACUUUUUAGCUAGAGUAUGAUAGAGGAAAGCAGAAUUUCUAGUGUAGAGGUGAAAUUCGUAGAUAUUAGAAAGAAUACCGAUUGCGAAGGCAGCUUUCUGGAUCAUUACUGACACUGAGGAACGAAAGCAUGGGUAGCGAAGAGGAUUAGAUACCCUCGUAGUCCAUGCCGUAAACGAUGUGUGUUAGACGUUGGAAAUUUAUUUUCAGUGUCGCAGCGAAAGCAAUAAACACACCGCCUGGGGAGUACGACCGCAAGGUUAAAACUCAAAUGAAUUGACGGGGACCCGCACAAGUAGUGGAGCAUGUGGUUUAAUUCGAAGAUACGCGCAGAACCUUACCAACACUUGACAUGUUCGUCGCGACUUUAAGAGAUUAAAGUUUUCGGUUCGGCCGGACGAAACACAGGUGCUGCAUGGCUGUCGUCAGCUCGUGUCGUGAGAUGUUGGGUUAAGUCCCGCAACGAGCGCAACCCUCACUUUUAGUUGCCAUCAUUUAGUUGGGCACUCUGAAAGAACUGCCAGUGAUAAGCUGGAGGAAGGUGGGGAUGACGUCAAGUCCUCAUGGCCCUUACGUGUUGGGCUACACACGUGCUACAAUGGUAUCUACAACAGGAAGCAAAACUGCGAGGUUUAGCAAAUCCUUAAAAGAUACCUCAGUUCGGAUUGCACUCUGCAACUCGAGUGCAUGAAGCUGGAAUUACUAGUAAUCGUGGAUCAGCGUGCCACGGUGAAUGCGUUCCCGGGUCUUGUACACACCGCCCGUCACACCAUGGGAGUUGGUUCUACCUUAAGGCAAGGUUUCAAACCCUUGACCACGGUAUAGUCAGCGACUGGGGUGAAGUCGUAACAAGGUAGCCGUA
rnacentral:rRNA from 1 species